rnacentral:rRNA from 1 species
UGCCAGCCGCCGCGGUAAUACGGAGGGUGCAUGCGUUGUUCGGAAUUAUUGGGCGUAAAGCGCGUGUAGGCGGUUCGUUAAGUCUGAUGUGAAAGCCCGGGGCUCAACCCCGGAAGUGCAUUGGAAACUGGCGAACUUGAGUACGGGAGAGGAAAGUGGAAUUCCGAGUGUAGGGGUGAAAUCCGUAGAUAUUCGGAGGAACAUCAGUGGCGAAGGCAAGCUGCUGGGCCGAAUCUGACGCUGAGACACGAAAGCGUGGGUAGCGAACGGGAUUAGAUA